rnacentral:rRNA from 1 species
GAUGAACGCUGGCGGCGUGCCUAAUACAUGCAAGUCGAGCGAACGGAUGAGGAGCUUGCUUCUCUGAUGUUAGCGGCGGACGGGUGAGUAACACGUGGAUAACCUACCUAUAGGACUGGGAUAACUUCGGGAAACCGUAGCUAAUACCGGAUAAUAUUUUGAACCGCAUGGUUCAAUAGUGAAAGACGGUCUUGCUGUCACUUAUAGAUGGAUCCGCGCGGCAUUAGCUAGUUGGUAAGGUAACGGCUUACCAAGGCAACGAUGCAUAGCCGACCUGAGAGGUGAAUCGCCAACACGGAAAUGGAGAAAGGGUCAAGACCCCAAGGGAAGGAAGAGGAAGGAAAUCUUCGGAAAGGGGCAAAGGCUGAAGGGGGAAAGGCGGGGGAAGGAAGGAAGGUCUUGGAUUCUUAAAAUCUGUUAAUUGGGGAAGAAAAAAGGGGAAAUAAACAGGGAAGAUUUGAAGGGAACUUAAUAAGAAAGCAACGCCUAACUACUU